rnacentral:misc_RNA from 1 species
UUAAGUUCAGCGGGUAUCCCUACCUGAUCCGAGGCCAUGCUUUCGGAGACUGGCCGCCCGUCGAAUGACCAUUCGCGCAUUUUGUUGCGUUCUGGGCCAUGACGGGCGCCGAUGUGUUUCGACGAGCCCCUCUCGGGGCAGCAUCAACGCAAGGCAGAGCCUUAGACACAAACGGCGCUCGAACAGGUAUACCCCAAGGA